GCCGGGCGUGGUGGCUCACGCCUGUAAUCCCAGCACAUUGGAGGCCAAGGUGGGCGGAUCGCCUGAGGUCAGGAGUUCGAGACCAGCCUGGCCAACAUGGUGAAACCCCGUCUCUA
rnacentral:sRNA from 1 species